GAUUGCCCAACCCACCAGCUCUUGGGCCACUGUGGACCCCAAUCCCAAUCAACAUUUGUUAGAUUUUUAAAAAGGUUGUGUCCUCAAAUGUGAUGAGUAGAAAUGGCUGUAAUUAACUUUUAUUUUUUAAAAUGAUUGAUUGAUUGAUUGAUUUAAGAGAGAGGGAGAGCACAGAGGGUGAAGAAGAAGCAGACUCCUAGCAGAGAGCCCAAAGUGGGGCUUGAUCCCAGGACCCUGAGAUCAUGACCUGAGCUGAAGGCAGAAGUGUAACCGACUGAGCUACCCAGGUGCCCCUGUGAAUAACUUUGAGAAGUGUCAAGCUAUUGCUAUAGGAAAAGAGUAUACAACAUGAGUCAGCGAGACUUUCACUCCAUAUCUUCAUAGUCCUCCUCAGGGACUCAGGGAACAUGCCUGAAAGUACAGCUUGCAUGGAGUCAGGACCUGGGUCCCGAUCUAUGUCUAUGGAACGACCGGAUGAAAAAUACCGUGCUAAGCCAUGAGAAAUAGCUGAAGUCAUACAUACCCAAUUCUGCAGCGACACAGAGGAGUUUGGAGCGCCUGGAAAUACUUCCACCCCAGGAAUUUCCAGGACAUCUGGUAAGUCAACAACAUUAUCACAAACAUUAUGGCCAACAAUGUGAGUUCUUGCAACAAUGUAUUCAUUUUCCAAAU
rnacentral:lncRNA from 1 species